rnacentral:rRNA from 1 species
AGAUUGAACGCUGGCGGCAGGCCUAACACAUGCAAGUCGAGCGGUAGAGAGGUGCUUGCAUCUCUUGAGAGCGGCGGACGGGUGAGUAAUGCCUAGGAAUCUGCCUAGUGGUGGGGGAUAACGUUCGGAAACGGACGCUAAUACCGCAUACGUCCUACGGGAGAAAGCGGGGGACCUUCGGGCCUCGCGCCAUUAGAUGAGCCUAGGUCGGAUUAGCUAGUUGGUGAGGUAAUGGCUCACCAAGGCGACGAUCCGUAACUGGUCUGAGAGGAUGAUCAGUCACACUGGAACUGAGACACGGUCCAGACUCCGUACGGGAGCAGCAGGUGGGGAAUAG